CGGGGCACAGUCCAUGACGAGAUAUUAAUCUUGUGUUUGGAUUUUUCCUUUUUUUUAAUAAAGAAGAAAGAUAAGGUAUUGUGCUCAUCUUGUAAAAAUCAAGCACACAGUACAUCAGUCUAUUCUACAAAGAAACACAACCUAAGCAAAGAUUUGUUAUAGGCAGUGGCCAGUUACAGAAACAGUAGGACUUGCAUUAGGGGUUUUGUAUGGGAAAGAAAGGGAGUCAGACACAGACGUGAUGGUGGAGACAGGGGCAGGAAGACAGAGCAGCUGACACUUCCAGAAAUAGCUGGCCAGAGGCCAGCAGGAGGGAAACACCAACCCGAGGAAAGAGAGACGGGGAUUGGGAGAGAAAUUCAGAAGAGACUGAGGCACGCACACAGACAGACACACCCACCCACACACAGAUACGGAUUCAAAGAGACAUGCACACUCUGAGUUUCUGAGAGUAAGCCACUGUCAGUUCCUGGGGUGAGCCACCAGCCACAUGGACACAAUUUCCUCUUUUUGAUGGAAACGUUUUCUUCCAAAUUGUGCUGCACGUUUUUGGCGAGAGCAUGGGGCUGUGCGGCGUCCCCUCCCUGGCGCCCACCUGUGCCCUGCACACUGGCCUGCACUGUGGUGAUCUCGCUUGGCCCCCACCUGAUUCCCGACAUACAGCAGAGGAACCUUAGGCUCAGGUGGAACAGCCUCAACUGAUUCUGUCCCUGAACUUCCGUACACAGCCCUGGAGUCGUCUUAGAGCCAUGAUUUAUUUAACUGUUCUUUCAUUUUACAGAACAUAAAAUGUAUUGUUUCCAACUUUUUUCCUAUGGUAAAUAAUACUAAAGUAAAUAUCUCUGUGCAUGAAUCUUUUUGUAUAUGUUGGAAUAUCCUUAAGAUAAGGCCCCAGAACUAAAAGUACCCUGUCAAAAGGUGAGCAUUUCCGGUUCCCCUGCUGUGCUUUGCUGCGUUGUUCUCUCCUGCUGCAACGUUCUCACUCCACAAUCCUGGGGCAGGGAGGGGAGGCCCAGCUGAGUUUGGAUCAUAAUCCUGAAAGACACAAUCCCAAGCACCAUAAUGUGGAAUGUUGAAAUCCCUAAAGAUCAAAAUCCCUCAAGUCUAAAAUCCCUGAUAUUUCAGAUGACCACAGCUACAGGGCUAGGUGCACACAAUUAGUAACCGUAGCGAUAUACGUGUACACGUUUCUCUUUUGACUUAUUUCUUUAUGGUCUGUCUUCUUAUAACUGCUACACCCAUGCCGCCGUCGUUAGUUACCUCAGUGUUUAUGCAAAAAUACCUGUUAUCAUUGCCUAUUUUAUUGUGUAAAGUGGCCUAUGAAAUGUUCUGUUGUGUUUUUAUGUUUCUCAAAUACAUACCUUUUAAAAAUGUAAA